UGCCCUUGGCAUUUGGCAUUAGAACAUUAGAACAAAUGACAAGCAUUCCCUUCCUUUUUAGUAUCCUAUUAGUAGCGGCUUAGUUUGAGAGGAUCCCUGUGUGAGCAUGCGAGGAGCAGAGCUACUUCAGCCUCCAUCUUUCUAACUAAAAAGUAAAACUAAAAAAGAAACAUACUAAUGCUGCUAAUAUGUUGCUACCUGUGGCUGCAGACGAAGAAAUGAACUUUGACCUUGCUUCCCCUGUCUCCUCUCUCACGUCUCUCGCUCCACCUCAUUUAUCCACCAUGAAACGACCUCUCACUCCUGUCUUCUCACACUUUCACCACUCUUCCUUCCUGUGCCCUCGUCCUCUCAUCUUCACCAUCCUCACCAUCAUCACCAUCAAACAGCAGAUUUCUUCAGUUUGGAAAUACCCUCCUUCAAUGUCAAUCUGGACAGCCUCCUGGACGAGUUCAGGGUGUCGCCCUGCCGGAGCUCCCUGAUGGUGCCUGACUCCCCGGAUGGAGAUGCCACUUCUGAGGAGGAGGGCCAGAGCACCACACUAUGACCCCAGAACGGAACAGAACACACCCCAAUCCUACAGGAGGCGCUGUCUUCUUUCUCUAUCUAUCUUCAUGUUGUCCCUCGGUCUCUUUCUCUCUCUCCGUUCAGUUUCUCUCUCUGAAUCCUCCUUUCUAUCCUCUCUCUCUCUCUGUCUGUUUUCAGUUUCUCCCGCUAUCCCUUUACUCUUUCUCUCUCUUGCUUUCUCUCUCUCUGCCUUUCACUACUGAUGAAGCCACUGAUGAAUGCACAACUGAGUGUCAACCAGCCAUCAUCCGCAGAACUACAGACUUGGGUUUGCCACAGUCACUCUUCCGCUCUUCACAAAGCCACUGAAAAAAGGGACCUUUAAUCUCCACAGACGACUUAACUUCUCCAGCUCUAUAUGUGACUUCAACUGCACGUAUGGUGCCAUGGAGGAAAAAACUGAUUCGAUCGUGCUGAAUCUGACCAGAAGGGACAUCAAUAGGGAGAGGUAACCGAGAAGGAAAGGAGAAGAAAAAAAAUGUAUGUCAAUUGUGUUCAUUUGUUCCUUGUCUUUUUCAUUUGUGAUAUGUACCAUAUUUUUACUUUUGUAUAUUUUUUUUGUAUCGGUUCAGGGUUUUUUUGUUGGCCUUAGGAAAGUCAGGGAUCAGGUUGCAAAGCAGCGCUGAUUCAGACAGCGGUGUCGGUGGAGAUUGCCUCAGGACAGAGAGAGAGGUUAUUAUUGUGUGUGUUUUACAGGGUAUGAAAGGUUGGCCUCAUGCAAUAUAAAUGUUGCCCAUUGUCAAAAUCAGGACGAAACAUGAACUUGCCAUGAAUAUCUGACAAAAACCCAUAUGCUCUCUCUCUGUCUCUCUUUCUCUCUCUCUCUCUCUCUCUCUCGCUCUUUCUCUCUUGCUUGCUGGCUCUCUCUCGAUCAUUUUCUCUAAUCCUAACCUUCACACACAAACACACACACACAAACACAAACGUGGAAGAUAGUCACGCUCAGAAAAUUGAGUGAAAAGAUGCACUUGUAAAUCUUCACAUUGCUGUCAAAGCGAAUUUACUUCAGUAUUCACUGGGCUCUCAUUCAACUGUGCACAUAUCAGCAUCAGUGCAGUAUGAGAAUGUCUUUCUCAUUUUUGAACGUUCUUUGUUUAAACUAUUGUUAUUGAUAUAACUGAACACAAAUCAUAAAUGUAUGGGGAAGACUGAGGGAGAAGUGUUUGAGACAAGAUCUGAAGCUCACUCCUUUGAAUGAUAUCUUUUUUUCCAGAGAAGGGCUUUGAUAACAGGGGAUUUUGACAGUAGAAAGAGUGGCCAUGUGUAUUAAUGCUCAUUGGUGUGCCUCUCCAGCAGGCCUCUCCAUUAAAACAUAUGGACAUAAACAGUAGUUUGAACUGUGACAGCACUGCCUGCAAGCCCUGUUGAUGCUCUCUGCACACCUUGUCUCAAGUGCUUCAGACUUAAUGUAUCGCCCCUUCCUAGUGUAAAUACUAACAGACUUGUAAAUAAAUAUGUAGAUAAUUCCAAGCGGGCAGGUUCAGAUGUAAAGACAAAUAUGAAUUAUACAUAUAUUCAUAAAUGUGGUCAUAUUUAUCUUGUUCUAGAAAAAUGCUGUAAAAUGAUGUUGGUGGUGUUAUUUUUCUCCCCGGCGCACACUAUUGCCAGAUUCACCGAGGAGUGAGUGAACUCGAGCACUGAACGCUGCAACAGAAAGCCAUGAAACUGCUAUCGGUACACGUGAAGACUUGACAGAGCAGAAUUUGCGUGUUUGUUUGAACGUUUUGCGCGUUUGUUCUUAAAUAUCAGUGCCCUGAGGAAAAACUCUCUGAACCGUCAGUCCGUCAUGAUGCUGCCCACUAACUCCCACACCAUUGCAUGUUUGAGGAACAGUAUUAUUUUGUAAAGAUUACUGCAUAGCGCUCUAGACCAUCUGAGGGAUUCUAUAAUAUGCUAAUAAUUGUUCACCCUUUUUGAAUGCAAUAAUUGGGAUAUGUUGCUUUUACAUGCAGUAUUUUUGUAUGUGUCAAUUCAAAAAGAUGGUGUGGAUGCUAUUCUGAUCAACCUGGAGUGGUUAAGGAUUUUACCAUGACAUCUGGCAUACUGUCAACACACACCCUGUUAGAGUGUGAUGUUAUUCCCUGGGAGUGCAAUGAUGUGGCACACAGAAGACCUGUCUGUGUAGUGUGGUUGUAUGACUGCUCUGUUCAUUUUCUCAGAGGAAUUGAAAGAUGCUGCAGUUUUUCUCUCAUAUCUGAAGGCCCAAAACUGACAGGACAUUUCAUUUUGUCAAUCAAAGUGCAAUUAUUUUGUUCUUGUGAACCUCAGAGAAGUGAAGAGGCCAUAUCCAACCCCCACUCUCUGCCCAACACUUGAUAGAAAGUCUUUCUUCAUUCCUUUUGCAGAUGAUAUGGUUUACUUUUUAUUUCUUGUUUUGUCUACUUCAGGGACUUAAACUCAAGAAGAUAAAGUCUCUGUUAUGUAUGAUAUGCCUCAGUGUGUGUGUGUGUGUGUGUGUGUUCUCAAUGAAUUAUAUUCUUGAAGAUUAUGGUGGCUGAGUAAUAUUAAUAGUUGUAGUGGUUAUAAAAUGAAAAUUGCAAGUGCCCUCACAUUAGAUAUUAAUGUCCUAAAGCUAAUGACAAGUUUUCUUGUGUACUUGAGGUUUUUGUCUGUGGUGGUUUCAUCAGUGUUUUUUUUAUGGAGGCAGGAGUGUCAUUAUACAAGAGCAUUGACUGAAUGUGUCUAUCUUGACUUUGAAGCUGAUCAAGGUCAGGUCUUGUCAAUAACUGACAGAAGCUGCAAUAGAAGCAUGGCUUUUUAAAAUAGCUCUCUUAUUUUUCAUACUCCAUUUGCUCUGGUGGCAUUUUGUGAACCACUGCACCCCACUGACAGUUUUAGUCAAAUGCCUGUGUUAACGUUAUUGAGCAAGUGGGGGAGGUGUUGUCGAGGCUUACAUUUUGUAAAUGCAAUAGACUUUGUCAGGGGGCGUGGAUUGUUUUCAGAUAAGCGUUAGCAUGCCCGCUCAAGCUGUGCUGUAGUCUGGUAAUGAUGGAGCUUUAAUAUUCAUAUUUCAUUCUUUCAUAUAUAUUUCACACAGAAGGUAUGAGCAAGUGAAGCUGUCACAUCGCUGUCUGCAAUGAUAUCAGGGUUACUAAAGGUCAAAGGUCAGCAGAUGACUAAGAGCAUGCCAACUUGAUGUUGCAAAGCAUCAAUGACCGUGAUGCGUGGCCAUUUUUGCACUUCCUAGCUUAUUGUGCGUGCUUUUGUUUUGAACCUGUUUUAGUCUGAUUAGUCACAAGAGGAGACAUGACUGUAAAGUGGGUUUUUUCUUUUUUAUUAUUAAUUUGUAGUUCUCACACAUCACUUUCUUUUAAGAGGAAGUUGAGGACACGAAAUCAUGGGUUAAAAGGGGGCAAAAAAACCUGGACAUAGAUGGCCAUGGGUUUAUGAUACAUACAUUUUAAACUGGACAUUACUAAUGGACAUCCAGCCUCUCCCAUGCUUCCACUCCAACUCCUGCUGAACUGUAGGACCCACCCCACCCUUCCUUCCUCUGCUUAGCAUAUCAAGUGGAACAACACAGUCUGUACUGUGAAGCCGACUGCAAUCCUUCAGAAUGUCAGAAAUAUAUAUAUAAAUAUAUAUUAAAGUCUACAUUUUUAAUAAUACGUUGUCCACGUCAUCUUUGUGCCUGCUGCUUUUCUUCUCAUGAUAUGUUACAACAAGUUCACAGGAUAUACUGUAUCAUGCUUGAAGCAGAGCUUUCUCUGUUUCUGAUUAAUUGGCUACAAUACCAAGGUCUGUGAUCUUCACUAUACACCAGCUUGAUGGAAAAGUUCUUGUGACGAUGCUUUGCCUCCACAUGCAUCCUCUGAAGAACCAAACUAACAAAACAAGAACUAGAUCAGCUCAAUAGAACAAGGAUUGAAUCACCAGACCAUAUUCUAUUGACACAGUGCAGUCACUUAUUGAGUGUAAUAUAGAUAGAGUAGGCCUAUAUUUCAUCUUGAACUACAGGAAAAGGUACCUAAAAUGGAUAAUAUCCUUAGAUGUCACAUAUUCAUAACAAAGCCCUGUGUCACGGAAGAACUGUCAAGGAGAGUUAAAGAUAGGGGGCAAAAUAUGACAAAAUGCUGUAAUUUGUCACGACACAUUAUUUUGAAAAUCUCUUAUGAAUCAGUAAUGUUACUGCCAUAGUUCACGUCAGCACACUUGUC
ensembl:lncRNA